rnacentral:rRNA from 1 species
UACGGGGGGGGCAAGCGUUGUUCGGAAUUACUGGGCGUAAAGGGCUCGUAGGCGGCCAACUAAGUCCGACGUGAAAUCCCCAGGCUUAACCUGGGAACUGCGUCGGAUACUGGAUGGCUUGAAUUCGGGAGAGGGAUGCGGAAUUCCAGGUGUAGCGGUGAAAUGCGUAGAUAUCUGGAGGAACACCGGUGGCGAAGGCGGCAUCCUGGACCGGCAUUGACGCUGAGGCGCGAAAGCCAGGGGAGCAAACGGG